rnacentral:lncRNA from 1 species
CCUGAUUUAAGUAAACUUUGUUGGAUAUCCAGUAAUACUAGGCCAGAUAUUUCUUAUUCUUGGCUUUGAUUUUUCUUUCCUUUGUUCUAUUUUGUAAUUCCUGUCCUACGUAAUGACAUCACCACACCCCUCUGAAGAACUCAAAAACAACAGUCAUCUUCAUUCUUCCCUACUGCCACCAGACUUCAGAAAUUAGGUAAAAAUCUACAGAAGAAAUCACUCAACUCUUGAAACACAAAAGGAAUAAAACAGGAUUUCAAAAUCCAAAGCAUGUUACCCAUUUGCUGAAGGAUGGCAGAGAAAGCCUGUUGUGGAUGCUCCACUGCUAUGUGGGAACAAGUUCUCAUAGGGAACAACCAGUGUACAAGGACAAAGUGCCCUCCUGCCCACUCAACAUACACAAGAACAAAUAUAUUGCCGUGGAAACAAGGCCAACACAGACUACAGAUGUUACAGAAAGUCUUAUAGAAAGAAUCAGGCUCCUAACAGUGUUCUAAUGCUAACCAUAUUACGGGCAUCUCAGCAGGAAUUAAUUAAAGGAAG